CACGUAGGGCGCGAGCGUUGUCCGGAAUUAUUGGGCGUAAAGAGCUCGUAGGCGGCCUGUUGCGUCCGCUGUGAAAGCCCGGGGCUUAACCCCGGGUCGGCAGUGGAUACGGGCAGGCUAGAGGUAGGUAGGGGAGAAUGGAAUUCCCGGUGUAGCGGUGAAAUGCGCAGACAUCGGGAGGAACACCGGUGGCGAAGGCGGGUCUCUGGGCCGUUACUGACGCUGAGGAGCGAAAGCGUGGGGAGCGAACAGG
rnacentral:rRNA from 1 species